GGGCCAUAGGUCAGCGGUAGAGCAUCUGCCUUGCAUGCAGAAGGUCCCAGGUUAAAUCUCUAGCAUCCCCA